AGAAAGCAACGCAAGAACUGCUAAUUCAUGCCUCCGCGCUUACACACGCGGCUUUCUU
rnacentral:tRNA from 1 species